GCCGUAGCGAAAGCGAGUUUUAACUGAGCGUUCAGUUACUUGACGUAGACCCGAAACCGGGCGACCUACCCAUGAGCAGGAUGAAGCGAAAGUAAAAUUUCGUGGAGGUCCGAACCCACGAGCGUUGAAAAGCUCGGGGAUGACUUGUGGGUAGCGGUGAAAUUCCAAUCGAGCCCGGAGAUAGCUGGUUCUCCCCGAAAUAGCUUUAGGGCUAGCCUCAAGGUGAGAGAUACGGAGGUAGAGCACUGAAUGUCCUAGGGGGUAUUGCACCUACCGAAGACUAUCAAACUCCGAAUGCCGUCAUCUUAUACUUGGGAGUCAGACUGUGGGUGAUAAGAUUCAUAGUCGAAAGGGCAACAGCCCAGAUCGUCAGCUAAGGUCCCUAAAUGUAAGUUAAGUGGUAAAGGAUGUGGGAUUGCACAGACAACCAGGAUGUUGGCUUAGAAGCAGCCACUCAUUCAAAGAGUGCGUAAUAGCUCACUGGUCGAGUGAUCCUGCGCCGAAGAUUUCCGGGGCUAAAACUUACUACCGAAGCUACGGCAUCAGUAAUGAUGGGUAGGGGAGCUUCCCAUACGGGUUGAAGCAUGACCGUAAGGACAUGUGGACAGUAUGGGAGUGAGAAUGUUGGCAUGAGUAGCGAGAUGUGGGUGAGAAUCCCACAGGCCGUAAACCCAAGGUUUCCAGGGGAAGGUUCGUCCGCCCUGGGUUAGUCGGGACCUAAGCUGAGGCCGAAAGGCGUAGGUGAUGGACAACAGGUUGAUAUUCCUGUACUACCGAUAACCGUUUGAGAGAAGGGAUGACACAGUAGGAUAAGCUAAGCACACUGUUGGUUAUGUGUGCCCAAGCAUUGAGGCAGUCAAAGUAGGCAAAUCCGCUUUGAUAAUGCUGGGAUGUGAUGGGGAGCGAAAUUUAGUAGCGAAGUAGCUGAUUUCACACUGUCAAGAAAAGUCUCUAUCGAGGUUAAAGGUACCCGUACCGCAAACCGACACAGGUGGGUGAGGAGAGUAUCCUAAGGCCAGCGAGAGAACUGUUGUUAAGGAACUCGGCAAAAUGACCCCGUAACUUAGGGAUAAGGGGUGCCACCAUCAGGUGGCCGCAGAGAAUAGGCCCAAGCGACUGUUUACCAAAAACAUAGGUUUCUGCUAAGUCGCAAGACGAUGUAUAGGAGCUGACGCCUGCCCGGUGCUGGAAGGUUAAGGGGAUCUGUUAGAGCAAUCGAAGCAGUGAACUUAAGCCCCAGUAAACGGCGGCCGUAACUAUAACGGUCCUAAGGUAGCGAAAUUCCUUGUCGGGUAAGUUCCGACCCGCACGAAAGGCGUAACGAUUUGGGCACUGUCUCAACAACAGACUCGGUGAAAUUGUAAUUCCGGUGAAGAUGCCGGAUACCUGCGACAGGACGGAAAGACCCCAUGGAGCUUUACUGUAGCUUGACAUUGGGUCUUGGUACUACAUGUACAGGAUAGGUGGGAGGCUUUGAAACCAGGACGCCAGUUUUGGCGGAGCCAUCCUUGGGAUACCACCCUUGUAGUACUGGGACUCUAACCAUAGGCCAUGAAUCUGGUCUUGGGACACUGUCAGGUGGGCAGUUUGACUGGGGCGGUCGCCUCCCAAAAGGUAACGGAGGCGCUCAAAGGUUCUCUCAGUACGGUCGGAAAUCGUACGUAGAGUGUAAAGGCAAAAGAGAGCUUGAUUGCAAGACAUACAGGUCGAGCAAGGAUGAAAAUCGGACUUAGUGAUCCGGUGGUUCUGCGUGGAAGGGCCAUCGCUCAACGGAUAAAAGCUACCCUGGGGAUAACAGGCUUAUCUCCCCCAAGAGUCCACAUCGACGGGGAGGUUUGGCACCUCGAUGUCGGCUCAUCACAUCCUGGGGCUGUAGUAGGUCCCAAGGGUUGGGCUGUUCGCCCAUUAAAGUGGUACGCGAGCUGGGUUCAGAACGUCGUGAGACAGUUCGGUCCCUAUCCGUCGCAGGCGUAGGAAAUUUGAGAAGACCUGUCCUUAGUACGAGAGGACCGGGAUGGACGUACCUCUGGUGUACCAGUUGUCCUGCCAAGGGCAUGGCUGGGUAGCUAUGUACGGAAUGGAUAAGCGCUGAAAGCAUCUAAGCGCGAAGCCAACUUCAAGAUAAGAUUUCCCACCGCAAGGGUAAGACCCCAGAAAGACUAUCUGGUUGA
rnacentral:rRNA from 1 species